UACGAAGGGGGCUAGCGUUGCUCGGAAUCACUGGGCGUAAAGGGUGCGUAGGCGGGUCUUUUAAGUCAGGGGUGAAAUCCUGGAGCUCAACUCCAGAACUGCCUUUGAUACUGAAGAUCUUGAGUUCGGGAGAGGUGAGUGGAACUGCGAGUGUAGAGGUGAAAUUCGUAGAUAUUCGGAGGAACACCAGUGGCGAAGGCGGCUCACUGGCUCGGUACUGACGCUGAGGUGCGAAAGCGUGGGGAGCAAACAGG
rnacentral:rRNA from 1 species